rnacentral:rRNA from 1 species
UACGUAGGGUCCGAGCGUUGUCCGGAAUUAUUGGGCGUAAAGGGCUCGUAGGCGGUCUGUUGCGUCGGGAGUGAAAACUUACAGCUUAACUGUGAGCGUGCUUCCGAUACGGGCAGACUUGAGGUAUUCAGGGGAGAAUGGAAUUCCCGGUGUAGCGGUGAAAUGCGCAGAUAUCGGGAGGAACACCGGUGGCGAAGGCGGUUCUCUGGGCCUUACCUGACGCUGAGGAGCGAAAGCGUGGGGAGCGAACAGG